AGAGUUUGAUCAUGGCUCAGGAUGAACGUUGGCGGUGUGCCUAAUACAUGCAAGUCGAACGGAGUUAAUAGCAAUAUUGACUUAGUGGCGAACGGGUGAGUAACGCGUUGGUGAUCUGCCUCGAAGUGUGGAAUAACGUUCCGAAAGGAUCGCUAAUACCGCAUGUGCUCUCGAUUUUUAGAAAGUUGAGAGUAAAGGAUUUAUUCGCUUCGAGAGGAGCCUGCGUCCCAUCAGCUGGCUGGUAGGGUAACGGCCUACCAAGGCUAUGACGGGUAGGGGACCUGAGAGGGUGGCCCCCCACAAUGGAACUGAAACACGGUCCAUACACCUACGGGUGGCAGCAGUAGGGAAUAUUAGAAAUGGACGAAAGUCUGAUCUAGCAACACCGCGUGUGCGAAGAAGGCCUUCGGGUCGUAAAGCACUUUUUGGAAGGAAUAGGAAGGAAUGUACUUCCAGAAUAAGUCUCGGCUAACUACGUGCCAGCAGCCGCGGUAACACGUAGGAGGCAAACGUUAUCCGGAUUUACUGGGCGUAAAGCGCGUGUAGGUGGUACUGUAAGUAGGGCGUGAAAGCUCCCGGCUCAACUGGGAGAGGCCGUUCUAAACUGCAGAACUAGAGGAUGGUAGAGGGAGGUGGAAUUCCAGGUGUAGCGGUGGAAUGCGCAGAUAUCUGGAGGAACACCAGUGGCGAAGGCGGCCUCCUGGACCAUUCCUGACACUCAGACGCGAAAGCUAGGGUAGCAAACGGGAUUAGAGACCCCGGUAGUCCUAGCCCUAAACGAUGUAGACUAGGCGUCGGUGGUUUAAUCACCAUCGGUGUCCAAGCUAACGCGAUAAGUCUACCGCCUGGGGACUACGGCCGCAAGGUUAAAACUCAAAGGAAUUGACGG
rnacentral:rRNA from 1 species